GUGGUCGUGGCAGAGAGGCCCAUCGCAACAGACUGUGACUCUGUAAAACCGCGGGUUCGAAUCCCGUCGAUCACC
rnacentral:tRNA from 1 species